rnacentral:rRNA from 1 species
GCGGAAGGCCCUUCGGGGUACUCGAGCGGCGAACGGGUGAGUAACACGUGAGCAACCUGCCCUAGGCUUUGGGAUAACCCCGGGAAACCGGGGCUAAUACCGAAUAUGACUUCUGGUCGCAUGACCGGUGGUGGAAAGUUUUUCGGCCUGGGAUGGGCUCGCGGCCUAUCAGCUUGUUGGUGGGGUGAUGGCCUACCAAGGCGACGACGGGUAGCCGGCCUGAGAGGGCGACCGGCCACACUGGGACUGAGACACGGCCCAGACUCCUACGGGAGGCAGCAGUGGGGAAUAUUGCACAAUGGGCGGAAGCCUGAUGCAGCGACGCCGCGUGAGGGAUGACGGCCUUCGGGUUGUAAACCUCUUUCAGCAGGGACGAAGCGUAAGUGACGGUACCUGCAGAAGAAGCGCCGGCCAACUACGUGCCAGCAGCCGCGGUAAGACGUAGGGCGCGAGCGUUGUCCGGAUUUAUUGGGCGUAAAGAGCUCGUAGGCGGCUUGUCGCGUCGACUGUGAAAACCCGCAGCUCAACUGCGGGCCUGCAGUCGAUACGGGCAGGCUAGAGUUCGGUAGGGGAGACUGGAAUUCCUGGUGUAGCGGUGAAAUGCGCAGAUAUCAGGAGGAACACCGGUGGCGAAGGCGGGUCUCUGGGCCGAUACUGACGCUGAGGAGCG